rnacentral:rRNA from 1 species
GACGAACGCUGGCGGCGUGCCUAAUACAUGCAAGUCGAACGCAGGGGGGACGGGUGAGUAACACGUGGGUAACCUCCCAUCAGAGGGGAGAACACUUGGCAACAGGUGCUAAACCGAUACUGGUUGAUGGACCCGCUGUGCAUUAGCUAGUGGGUGGGGUAACGGCUCACCAAGGCCACGAGGCAUAGCGGGCCUGAGAGGGUGAUCGGCCACACUGGGACUGAGACACGGCCCAGACUCCUACGGGAGGCAGCAGUAGGGAAUCUUCGGCAAUGGACGAAAGUCUGACCGAGCAACGCCGCGUGAGUGAAGAAGGUUUUCGGAUCGUAAAACUCUGUUGUUAGAGAAGCGGUAUCUAACCAGAAAGCCACGGCUAACUACGUGCCAGCCGCCGCGGUAAUAC